UCGUCUGCCCCCUUUAAACUUCCAUCUCUUUCCCUUUCAAUGAAAGCUUGUCUGCAUUUGAAGAGUUGCUACAAAGAUCGUCUAAAAAGAGUUUUGGAGUAUGUUGACAAAGUGAAGGAUUAUGACAACCUGAUCAGUCCCAAUAGCUUAUCCUUUCACUUCCUUGGUCCAGAACCUUCUAGUGGUGCUUUACAACGUUUGAAGGGAGUCUUCAGAGCAAGAGGCGUUGCUUAAAAAAGGGUGGUGAUUCGGAGAAAUCUUUUGUUCCUCCUGUUGUUCAAAAAGUUUUUGAAGUUCCUUCAUCCUCCCAAACAUUUUCUAUAGAACAACUCACUCCUUCAUUUCGAUCUUUCAAAGGCCAAGAUAAGGGGAAGUUCAUCUCUGACUUCUGGAAUGAUCCUGGUUUAGCCGUGGCUAAGGCUCAUGACGUAAUCUCGACGGACAAAUUAUGCGUUUUUCGUCCAUUGAAUCUCAUGAUUUGGUUACCCAACAUCUCCACAAGAAUGUUUAGAGUCUAUGUACAUGAUAGCCAAUUGCUUGGACAUGGAAGAGAAAUUAGCUUCGACGCAAGCUAAGUUAAAACUUGCCCUCAUCUGAAAAGUCGCAAUAAAGAUCAUCUAAAGAGAGUUUUAGAAUACGUGGGUGAACUGAAGGAUUUUAAGGUUUCUGAAGAGUAUUCGGACAGGCUCAUGGUUGAGUAUGCUGACGGUUUUGAGCUUCUUCAAAAGUACCUCAUCAAACAUCAUCCUGACUUGAAUUUCUCUUUGCUAGAGAUAUGGAGGAGAUUGAAAAGGAGAUGCUGAUCGUGGAGGCCGAAGUUGACAACAUAGUUGCUGAAGAUGCCAUGGUGGACGUUGCUGAGAAUGUCGCCCCUAUCACUGACAAUAUUAAUCUAGAAUAAAAGCAGUUGUUCCUUUAUUUCUCAGGCUCAUAUGUUUUGAGCAAAGAUAAUAUUUCUUUUUUAGGCCUGUAUAUUUUGGGCAUAAGACAAUAUUGCUGCCUUCUUCUGUUUUUAAGACUUUCUUGUCACUAGAUGUUCUAUGCUUUUUUCUUGCUUGAACCUUGCAAAUUUGUGGUAAUAUAUCUUCUUCGUCUGUAA